AAAAAAACUUUGUAAGAUAAAAUAUAAUUUUUUAAGAUAAAAUACCCUUUACUAGAAAAUUAAAAAUUAAUAGUUUUAGAAUAAAAAAGAAAAAGCGUUUGUGAAUGAAUUGGAUGGCGGCAUUGUAUUGUCGGCAACAGUAGGCACAAGCUUAGAACUAUAUUCCUCCAUUGAAGAACAUCCAUCUUAAGCAUACAUAGUGAAGUGAAUCUCAUAAAUUCUCAUAUUCGACUGCGUAAAUUGUGAGUCAUAUUCUUUACAUGUUUACUUGGCAGCUGAGAAGGAUAAAGGGAUCUUCUUCAUCUGAGAUUUCGUGAAAAGUGUUGAGUUUUAGAAGUGGAGAAAGAUGAGAGAAUUACAAAUGAAGAGCAAUGAUGCAUAUAAGAAGCACCAAGAAGGCAAGAAGACAGAAGUGGUUUCAGAAAUAGGAAUGAUGCAUAUAAAAAACACUAAGAAGGGAGUAGUGUCAGAAAUAGGAAUUUGGAGCUUCUAGAUUUAUAUUAAUUAUUAAAUGAGAUUCGUCACACUCUCCUAGCAUUUUGUUUACGCACCAGGAUAAAGUCGUGUAGUUGAGGGCUUAUAGUAGUAAUAUUAAUACUAUGUAUGUCCAUCUUAUAAAUUAUAAUAGUUUGAACAUUUUUCUUUAUAUAA